ensembl:snoRNA SNORD33 Small nucleolar RNA Z195/SNORD33/SNORD32 family
GCUCGUCAAUGAUGAUUUAAUGAUAUUAUUCGAGUUUCACUGACCAUGAGACUAUCUUACAUGCACUACCAUCUGAGACACC